rnacentral:rRNA from 1 species
GACGAACCGUGCGAACGUUGUUCGGAAUCACUGGGCUUAAGGGGCGCGUAGGCGGGCUGACAAGUCGGAGGUGAAAUCCCACGGCUCAACCGUGGAAUAGCCCCCGAUACUGCCAGCCUUGAGGGAGAUAGGGGCGUGCGGAACUUCCGGUGGAGCGGUGAAAUGCGUAGAUAUCGGAAGGAACAUCAGUGGCGAAAGCGACUUCCUGGACCAGUACCGACGUUCAGGCACGAAAGCGUGGGGAGCAAACAGG